UGUGCCCUACGGGACGCAGCAGUAGGGAAUCUUCCACAAUGGGCGAAAGCCUGAUGGAGCAACGCCGCGUGGGUGAAGAAGGUCUUCGGAUCGUAAAACCCUGUUGUUAGAGAAGAAAGUGCGUGAGAGUAACUGUUCACGUUUCGACGGUAUCUAACCAGAAAGCCACGGCUAACUACGUGCCAGCAGCCGCGGUAAUACGUAGGUGGCAAGCGUUAUCCGGAUUUACUGGGUGUAAAGGGCGUGUAGGCGGGGAAGCAAGUCAGA
rnacentral:rRNA from 1 species